GACGAACGCUGGCGGCGUGCUUAACACAUGCAAGUCGAACGGAAAGGCCCUGCUUGCAGGGUACUCGAGUGGCGAACGGGUGAGUAACACGUGGGUGAUCUGCCCUGCACUUCGGGAUAAGCUUGGGAAACUGGGGCUAAUACCGGAUAGGAACCAUCUUGAGCGUGGUUGAUGGAUAGUUUUUUCGGUGUAUGAUGAGCUCGCGUCCUAUCAGCUUGUUGGUGGGGUAAUGGCCUACCAAGCCGGGGACUGGUAGCCGGCCUGUGAGGGUGUACGGCCACAUUGGGGCAGAGAGACGGGCCAGAUACCGAAGCGAGGGAGAAGUGUGGAAUAUUGCACAAUGGGCGCCAGGAGGAUGCAGCGACGCUGCGUGGUGGAUGAAGGCCUUCGGGGGGUAGACUCCUUCUGCUAGGGACGAAGCAUUUUGUGACGGUACCUAGAUAAGAAGCAACGGCUAACUACGUG
rnacentral:rRNA from 1 species